GAGAAAUCCAGCAGAUUUUCACUGAUUGAAUGCAGGUGAAAUGGAGGCUAACAGUAGCUAAGCUAACAGACUGCUACUAAACACGUCAAUGUCAAGUGAGCUAAAGCAGGAACAAACCAUUUCGCCUGGUUACAGGAGGUGUUCGGAAUUGUCUCAGCGUUUCCCCCCUAUGUAGCGGUGCUGAUUACAAAGGCCUGAAAGCGAGAGUCGUCAUCCAUCUUUGUCAUCCCAGCAGAGAAGCAGCAGCAGCGGACAGUUAUGAGGAAGCCUCCUCUCCCGCUGAGCACCGGCCGUCACACGCAUCCAUAGAGUGUUGGAGUUUGAAGCCGCAGGGUGUUUACAGCAACUCUCAAUAUCUCUACUUCACAAAUCAUUCAUAUCUUCUAGGCAUUUACUCUAAAACUAUUUUUAUAAAAGAUUAAUAUUGUCAGGUAGAACACAUCAGUUAUUUAAAAUGACAAGAUAUAGAGAUUUUAAUAACGCAGCAAAAUAGGAUAAAGGUUUGCUGCAUACUUCUACAAGAAAUCAGAAAAAAUAAUUAACAAAAAUUAAA